UUUGAGACCACUGAUCUAGAGGCAAUCAGGGGCCUAUUGCACAAAAGUAGAAUUAAGACAUCCAGGCUAAAUGGCUGAGCUGAGCUCAAUGAAGCCAAAACAAGUGCGCCCACGCUUAAUUGGUUGCACAAAGACCAAGCCAGGAUGAUCAGACACGGAUUCAUCAAGCCAGGUGAAACCAAUCCUGGAUAGGUGCGCGCUCACGGCUCACUCAACUAGACCCCGCCACCGAUCACAGAUUCACCGAUUCACCAUGGCAACUAGCAGCGUUCUUUUCCCCGUCAGAGGCACAAAUCCAUACGAGGAGGUAAAAGACAUAAUUAAGAAGAAAGGCAACACCGCCACAGUGGUAAAGCAGAGAGAAAAAGCGUGGCAAAGUAUUGCAGACCGCCUGAAUGCAUUAAAUAUGACCGGGCCAAAACGGACAUGGCAGCAGGUCAAAAUCAAAAUCUGCAGAAUGCAGUGAAAAAGAAUACCCAGAGACAAGGCAUGAGUGGUGGGUCACCAAAAGCUGACC